AUUGAACGCUGGCGGCAGGCCUAACACAUGCAAGUCGAGCGAGCGGCGGACGGGUGAGUAAUGCCUGGGAAUUGCCCAGUCGAGGGGGAUAACAGUUGGGAACGACUGCUAAUACCGCAUACGAUUGGAUUGCCCAGGUGGGAUUAGCUAGUUGGUGAGGUAAUGGCUCACCAAGGGGACGCUCCCUAGCUGGUCUGAGAGGAUGAGCAGCCAAACUGGAACUGAGCCACGUGACAGACCCCUAGGGGAGGCAGCAGUGGGGAAUAGUGCACAAGGGGUGAAACCCUGAUGCAGCCAUGCCGCGUGUGUGAAGAAGGCCUUCGGGUUGUAAAGCACUUUCAGCGAGGAGGCGUUACUCGCAGAAGAAGCACCGGCUAACUCCGUGCCAGCCGCCGCGUAAUUC
rnacentral:rRNA from 1 species